GAGUUUGAUCAUGGCUCAGGAUGAACGCUAGCGGCAGGCUUAACACAUGCAAGUCGAGGGGUAACAGGGUCCGCCUUCGGGCAGACCGCUGACGACCGGCGCACGGGUGCGUAACGCGUAUGCAACCUACCUUUUACAGGGGGAUAGUCAAGAGAAAUUUUGAAUAAUACCCCAUACGAUCAUUGAGACACAUGUUUUAGUGAGGAAAACUACGGUGGUAAAAGAUGGGCAUGCGUCCUAUUAGCUAGAUGGAGAGGUAACGGCUCCCCAUGGCGACGAUAGGUAGGGGUCCUGAGAGGGAGAUCCCCCACACUGGUACUGAGACACGGACCAGACUCCUACGGGAGGCAGCAGUGAGGAAUAUUGGACAAUGGAGGCAACUCUGAUCCAGCCAUGCCGCGUGCAGGAAGACUGCCCUAUGGGUUGUAAACUGCUUUUAUACAGGAAGAAACACUCCCUCGUGAGGGAGCUUGACGGUACUGUAAGAAUAAGGAUCGGCUAACUCCGUGCCAGCAGCCGCGGUAAUACGGAGGAUCCAAGCGUUAUCCGGAAUUAUUGGGUUUAAAGGGUCCGUAGGUGGUUUGCUAAGUCAGAGGUGAAAUCCUGCCGCUUAACGGUAGCACUGCCUUUGAUACUGGCAAACUUGAGUCAUUGUG
rnacentral:rRNA from 1 species